rnacentral:rRNA from 1 species
GAUGAACGCUGGCGGCGUGCCUAAUACAUGCAAGUCGAGCGAACGGACGAGAAGCUUGCUUCUCUGAUGUUAGCGGCGGACGGGUGAGUAACACGUGGAUAACCUACCUAUAAGACUGGGAUAACUUCGGGAAACCGGAGCUAAUACCGGAUAAUAUUUUGAACCGCAUGGUUCAAAAGUGAAAGACGGUCUUGCUGUCACUUAUAGAUGGAUCCGCGCUGCAUUAGCUAGUUGGUAAGGUAACGGCUUACCAAGGCAACGAUGCAUAGCCGACCUGAGAGGGUGAUCGGCCACACUGGAACUGAGACACGGUCCAGACUCCUACGGGAGGCAGCAGUAGGGAAUCUUCCGCAAUGGGCGAAAGCCUGACGGAGCAACGCCGCGUGAGUGAUGAAGGUCUUCGGAUCGUAAAACUCUGUUAUUAGGGAAGAACAUAUGUGUAAGUAACUGUGCACAUCUUGACGGUACCUAAUCAGAAAGCCACGGCUAACUACGUGCCAGCAGCCGCGGUAAUACGUAGGUGGCAAGCGUUAUCCGGAAUUAUUGGGCGUAAAGCGCGCGUAGGCGGUUUUUUAAGUCUGAUGUGAAAGCCCACGGCUCAACCGUGGAGGGUCAUUGGAAACUGGAAAACUUGAGUGCAGAAGAGGAAAGUGGAAUUCCAUGUGUAGCGGUGAAAUGCGCAGAGAUAUGGAGGAACACCAGUGGCGAAGGCGACUUUCUGGUCUGUAACUGACGCUGAUGUGCGAAAGCGUGGGGAUCAAACAGGAUUAGAUACCCUGGUAGUCCACGCCGUAAACGAUGAGUGCUAAGUGUUAGGGGGUUUCCGCCCCUUAGUGCUGCAGCUAACGCAUUAAGCACUCCGCCUGGGGAGUACGACCGCAAGGUUGAAACUCAAAGGAAUUGACGGGGACCCGCACAAGCGGUGGAGCAUGUGGUUUAAUUCGAAGCAACGCGAAGAACCUUACCAAAUCUUGACAUCCUUUGACAACUCUAGAGAUAGAGCCUUCCCCUUCGGGGGACAAAGUGACAGGUGGUGCAUGGUUGUCGUCAGCUCGUGUCGUGAGAUGUUGGGUUAAGUCCCGCAACGAGCGCAACCCUUAAGCUUAGUUGCCAUCAUUAAGUUGGGCACUCUAAGUUAACUGCCGGUGACAAACCGGAGGAAGGUGGGGAUGACGUCAAAUCAUCAUGCCCCUUAUGAUUUGGGCUACACACGUGCUACAAUGGACAAUACAAAGGGCAGCGAAACCGCGAGGUCAAGCAAAUCCCAUAAAGUUGUUCUCAGUUCGGAUUGUAGUCUGCAACUCGACUACAUGAAGCUGGAAUCGCUAGUAAUCGUAGAUCAGCAUGCUACGGUGAAUACGUUCCCGGGUCU